rnacentral:rRNA from 1 species
AUGAACGCUGGCUGUAUGGAUAAGGCAUGCAAGUCGAACGGCCCGCAAGGGCAGUGGCAGACGAGGUAGUAACACGUAGGUACGUACUCCCAAGUCCGGCAUAGCUCGUCGAAAGACGGGGUAAUUCCGGAUGGUCCCGUAAGGGUAAAGAUUUAUCGCUUGGGAAGCGGCCUGCGUAGUAUCAGCUAGUUGGUAAGGUAAUGGCUUACCAAGGCUACGACGCUUAGGGGAGCUGAGAGGCUGACCCCCACCGAUGGGACUGAGACACGGCCCAUACUCCUACGGGAGGCCGCAGUCGAGAAUCUUCCGCAAUGGACGAAAGUCUGACGGAGCGAUACAGCGUGGUGGAUGAAGUGCUUCGGUACGUAAACACCUUUUAUGUGGGACGAAAUUUUUGACGGUACCACAUGAAUAAGGGGCUCCUAACUCUGU